rnacentral:rRNA from 1 species
UGGGGAAUAUUGGACAAUGGGCGAAAGCCUGAUCCAGCCAUGCCGCGUGUGUGAAGAAGGUCUUCGGAUUGUAAAGCACUUUAAGUUGGGAGGAAGGGCAGUAAGCUAAUACCUUGCUGUUUUGACGUUACCGACAGAAUAAGCACCGGCUAACUCUGUGCCAGCAGCCGCGGUAAUACAGAGGGUGCAAGCGUUAAUCGGAAUUACUGGGCGUAAAGCGCGCGUAGGUGGUUUGUUAAGUUGGAUGUGAAAGCCCCGGGCUCAACCUGGGAACUGCAUCCAAAACGGGCAAGCUAUAGUACGGUAGAGGGUGGUGGAAUUUCCUGUGUAGCGGUGAAAUGCGUAGAUAUAGGAAGGAACACCAGUGGCGAAGGCGACCACCUGGACUGAUACUGACACUGAGGUGCGAAAGCGUGGGGAGCAAACA